UACGGGGGGGGCAAGCGUUGUUCGGAAUUACUGGGCGUAAAGGGCUCGUAGGUGGCCAACUAAGUCAUACGUGAAAUCCCUCGGCUUAACUGGGGAACUGCGUGUGAGACUGGCAGGCUCGAGGGCAGGAGAGGAACGCGGAAUUCCAGGUGUAGCGGUGAAAUGCGUAGAUAUCUGGAGGAACACCGGUGGCGAAGGCGGCGUUCUGGACUGUCUCUGACACUGAAGAACGAAAGCCAGGGGAGCAAACGGG
rnacentral:rRNA from 1 species